AGCGAACGCUGGCGGCAGGCCUAACACAUGCAAGUCGAACGAACCUUUCGGGGUUAGUGGCGGAUGGGUGAGUAACCCGUGGGAAAGUGCCUAUAGGUUCGGCUUAACUCAGGGAAAAACGUGCUAAUACCGACUGUGCUCUUCGGGGGAAAGAUUUAUCGCCUCUAGAGCGGCUUGCGACUGCUUAGCUAGUUGGUUGAGGUAAUGGCGUACCAAAGCGAGGGUCAGUAGCUGGUCUGAGAGGAAGAGUCGCCACAUUGGGACUGAGACGCAGCCCGAACUCCUACGCGAGGGAGCAGUGGGGGAUCCUGCGCUAUGGGCGAAAGCCUGACGCAGCCAUGACGCGUGAAUGAUGAAGGUCGUAGGAUUGUGAAAUUCUUUAACCGGGGACGAUAAUGACGGUACCCGGAGAAGAAGCCCCGGCUAACUUCGUG
rnacentral:rRNA from 1 species